GAUGAACGCUGACAGAAUGCUUAACACAUGCAAGUCUACUUGAUUCUACUUCGGUAGUUGAUGGUGGCGGACGGGUGAGUAACGCGUAAAGAAUCUGCCCUUUAGUUUGGGAUAACCUUUGGAAACGAAGGCUAAUACCGGAUAUUAUGGAGACGUCGCAUGGCGACUCCAUGAAAGCUAUAUGCGCUAGAGGAGGACUUUGCGUCCCAUUAGUUAGUUGGUGAGGUAAUGGCUCAACAAGACCGCGAUGGGUAGCCGGCCUGAGAGGGUGAUCGGCCACAAGGGAACUGAGAAACGGUCCUUACUCCUACGGGAGGCAGCAGUGGGGAAUAUUGGACAAUGGGCCACAAGCCUGAUCCAGCAAUUCUGUGUGCACGAUGAAGGUCUUCGGAUUGUAAAGUGCUUUCAGUAGGGAAGAAAAAAAUGACGGUACCUACAGAAGAAGCGACGGCUAAAUAUGUGCCAGCAGCCGCCGUAAUAC
rnacentral:rRNA from 1 species